rnacentral:rRNA from 1 species
AUUGAACGCUGGCGGCGUGCCUAACACAUGCAAGUCGAGCGGUAACAGGUGCAGCAAUACAUGCUGACGAGCGGCGAACGGGUGAGUAAUGCUUCGGAAUCUGCCCAUGUAGUGGGGAAUAACCAGCCGAAAGGUUGGCUAAUACCGCAUACGACCCUUGCCCACAAGGCAAAGGUGAAAGCAGGGGAUCGCAAGACCUUGCGCUAUUGGANGAGCCGAAGUCGGAUUAGCUAGUUGGUAGGGUAACGGCCUACCAAGGCGACGAUCCGUAGCUGGUCUGAGAGGACGACCAGCCACACUGGGACUGAGACACGGCCCAGACUCCUACGGGAGGCAGCAGUGGGAAUAUUGGACAAUGGGGCAACCCUGAUCCAGCGACGCCGCGUGUGUGAAGAAGGCCUGCGGGUUGUAAAGC